CAGGCCAUGGGAAGACAUUACCUGUUGAUAACACAGACUAUUCUCAUGAUCAUGGGAGGUGUGAGAGAAUUGCUGCUCUUUGUGAUGACUGUGGGGGUUGUCAAAGUUUCUUGUUACCCUGUUGGAAAGUCCCAGAAGCAAGAUCAAGUCUCUCUGCAGAGGAGACUUGGAGAGCUGUCAUCAAAUGACGUCUCCAUUGAGCAUGCCCUGGCCUUGCUCCGAUCCAUAGGGUCUGACGCUAAACAAGACAGAGAAGAGUAUUUAGAGACUAACGAAGUAGAAUCCCAAGCUUCUCCAAACCAUGGUAGCUCUCAGGCAAAUGAUGCCCUGUCCUCUGAGGAGAAGCUGAGGCGCAUGUCCUCUGACGACGCUGCGACUGGCCCGUCUGACGACGCUACCUCUGAAGCUGCGACUGGCCCGUCUGACGACGCUACCUCUGAAGCUGCGACUGGCCCGUCUGACGACGCUACCUCUGAAGCUGCGACUGGCCCGUCUGACGACGCUACCUCUGAAGCUGCGACUGGCCCGUCUGACGACGCUACCUCUGAAGCUGCGACUGGCCCGUCUGACGACGCUACCUCUGAAGCUGCGACUGGCCCGUCUGACGACGCUACCUCUGAAGCUGCGACUGGCCCGUCUGACGACGCUACCUCUGAAGCUGCGACUGGCCCGUCUGACGACGCUACCUCUGAAGCUGCGACUGGCCCGUCUGACGACGCUACCUCUGAAGCUGCGACUGGCCCGUCUGACGACGCUACCUCUGAAGCUGCGACUGGCCCCCUGCGACUGGCCCGUCUGACGCACGCUACCUCUGAAGCUGCGACUGGCCCGUCUGACGACGCUACCUCUGAAGCUGCGACUGGCCCGUCUGACGACGCUACCUCUGAAGCUGCGACUGGCCCCGUCUGACGCACGCUACCUCUGAAGCUGCGACUGGCCCGUCUGACGACGCUACCUCUGAAGCUGCGACUGGCCCGUCUGACGACGCUACCUCUGAAGCUGCGACUGGCCCCGUCUGACGCACGCUACCUCUGAAGCUGCGACUGGCCCCGUCUGACGACGCUACCUCUGAAGCUGCGACUGGCCCCGUCUGACGACGCUACCUCUGAAGCUGCGACUGGCCCGUCUGACGACGCUACCUCUGAAGCUGCGACUGGCCCGUCUGACGACGCUACCUCUGAAGCUGCGACUGGCCCCGUCUGACGCACGCUACCUCUGAAGCUGCGACUGGCCCGUCUGACGACGCUACCUCUGAAGCUGCGACUGGCCCCGUCUGACGACGCUACCUCUGAAGCUGCGACUGGCCCGUCUGACGACGCUACCUCUGAAGCUGCGACUGGCCCCGCGUCUGACGACGCUACCUCUGAAGCUGCGACUGGCCCCGUCUGACGACGCUACCUCUGAAGCUGCGACUGGCCCGUCUGACGACGCUACCUCUGAAGCUGCGACUGGCCCCGUCUGACGACGCUACCUCUGAAGCUGCGACUGGCCCGUCUGACGCACGCUACCUCUGAAGCUGCGACUGGCCCCCGUCUGACGACGCUACCUCUGAAGCUGCGACUGGCCCCGUCUGACGACGCUACCUCUGAAGCUGCGACUGGCCCCGUCUGACGACGCUACCUCUGAAGCUGCGACUGGCCCCGUCUGACGACGCUACCUCUGAAGCUGCGACUGGCCCCGUCUGACGACGCUACCUCUGAAGCUGCGACUGGCCCCGUCUGACGACGCUACCUCUGAAGCUGCGACUGGCCCGUCUGACGACGCUACCUCUGAAGCUGCGACUGGCCCCGUCUGACGACGCUACCUCUGAAGCUGCGACUGGCCCCGUCUGACGACGCUACCUCUGAAGCUGCGACUGGCCCCCCGUCUGACGACGCUACCUCUAAGGAACUGUUCACCGCUUCAUCGGAGCCCCCGUUGACCACAAACAUGGAUAUCUGACGUGGGACAUGGUGCUCGGGGUCCUGCAAGAGUUCAUGGGUACUCUAGUCCAGGUUGUCUGUGUGUGUAACUGCAUUUGCUUGUUUUGGCUCAAUUAAACAUUAACUGUAAUACUUGU